rnacentral:rRNA from 1 species
GAUGAACGCUGGCGGCGUGCCUAAUACAUGCAAGUCGAGCGAACAGACGAGGAGCUUGCUCCUCUGACGUUAGCGGCGGACGGGUGAGUAACACGUGGAUAACCUACCUAUAAGACUGGGAUAACUUCGGGAAACCGGAGCUAAUACCGGAUAAUAUAUUGAACCGCAUGGUUCAAUAGUGAAAGACGGUUUUGCUGUCACUUAUAGAUGGAUCCGCGCCGCAUUAGCUAGUUGGUAAGGUAACGGCUUACCAAGGCGACGAUGCGUAGCCGACCUGGGAGGGUGGUCGGCCACACUGGAACUGAGACACGGUCCAGACUCCUACGGGAGGCAGCAGUAGGGAAUCUUCCGCAAUGGGCGAAAGCCUGACGGAGCAACGCCGCGUGAGUGAUGAAGGUCUUCGGAUCGUAAAACUCUGUUAUUAGGGAAGAACAAAUGUGUAAGUAACUAUGCACGUCUUGACGGUACCUAAUCAGAAAGCCACGGCUAACUACGUG